rnacentral:rRNA from 1 species
UACGUAGGGUGCAAGCGUUAAUCGGAAUUACUGGGCGUAAAGCGUGCGCAGGCGGUUUUGUAAGUCUGAUGUGAAAUCCCCAGGCUUAACCUGGGAACUGCAUUCGAGACUGCAUUGCUAGAGUAUGGGAGAGGGAAGUGGAAUUUCCGGUGUAGCGGUGAAAUGCGUAGAUAUCGGAAGGAACAUCAGUGGCGAAAGCGACUUCCUGGACCAAAACUGACGCUCAUGUGCGAAAGCGUGGGGAGCAAACAGG